rfam:Felis catus isolate Cinnamon breed Abyssinian chromosome A1, whole genome shotgun sequence.
GCCUGGCUGGCUCAGAUGGUAGAGCAUGUGACUCUUGAUCUCAGGGUUGUGGGUUCGAGCCCCACACUGGGAG